CAAACGUCUAACUGUAAGUUGCUCUGGAUAAGAGCGUCUGCUAAAUGACUAAAA
rfam:Salmo salar isolate Sally breed double haploid chromosome ssa10, whole genome shotgun sequence.